GACGAACGCUGGCGGCGUGCCUAAUACAUGCAAGUCGAGCGAGUCUGCCUUGAAGAUCGGAGUGCUUGCACUCUGUGAAACAAGAUACAGGCUAGCGGCGGACGGGUGAGUAACACGUGGGUAACCUGCCCAAGAGAUCGGGAUAACACCUGGAAACAGAUGCUAAUACCGGAUAACAACAGAUGAUGCCUAUCAACUGUUUAAAAGAUGGUUCUGCUAUCACUCUUGGAUGGACCUGCGGUGCAUUAGCUAGUUGGUAGGGUAACGGCCUACCAAGGCGAUGAUGCAUAGCCGAGUUGAGAGACUGAUCGGCCACAUUGGGACUGAGACACGGCCCAAACUCCUACGGGAGGCAGCAGUAGGGAAUCUUCCACAAUGGACGCAAGUCUGAUGGAGCAACGCCGCGUGAGUGAAGAAGGGUUUCGGCUCGUAAAGCUCUGUUGUUGGUGAAGAAGGACAGGGGUAGUAACUGACCUUUGUUUGACGGCAAUCAAUUAGAAAGUCACGGCUAACUACGUG
rnacentral:rRNA from 1 species